rnacentral:snRNA from 1 species
ACAUCUUGGUUGUCGGCACCA